UGCAGUUGGUGGUGACUUGGGGAGGGAGGGAGGGAUGUUUUGUGUUUUUGUGUUUGUGUUUGUACUGUUUAAAAGAAAAAUGGAAAUAAAAAAUGUUAAUCAUAAAAAAAAAUCACUGUCCAAAACCUUUGUAGGAACUCUUUUCCAACCUUUUGGAGUUAGUUAGACCUAAAAAAAACGAAAAAUGAAAAAAAAAUGUUUGGGGUGUUCGGUCUUCCUGAAGGUAAUACCCGGGUAUUAGGUUAUGGGGCUAGGGUAAGGUUUUUGGCGUUAGGGUUAAAAUCACUGUCCAAAACCUUUGUAGGAACUCUUUUCCAACCUUUUGGAGUUAGUUAAACCCAAAAAAAAAUGGAAAAUGAAAAAGAAAUAUUUGGGGUAUUUGGGCUUCCUGAAGGUAAUACUCGGGUAUUAGGUUAUGGGGCUAGUGAAAGGUUUCAGGUUUUUGGCGUAAGGGUUAAAAUCACUGUCCAAAACCUUUGUAGGAACUCUUUUCCAACCUUUUGGAGUUAGACCAGAAAAAAAAUGAAAAAUGAAAAAAAAAAUAUUUGGGGUUUUCGGGCUUUCUGAAGGUAAUACCCGGGUAUUAGGUUAUGGGGCUAGGGUAAGGUUUAAGGUUUUUGGCGUUAGGGUUAAAAUCACUGUCCAAAACCUUUGUAGGAACUCCUUUCCAACCUUUUGGAGUUAGUUAAACCAAAAAAAAAAUUGUAAAAUGAAAAAGAAAUAUUUGGGGUGUUCGGGCUUCCUGAAGGUAAUACCCAGGUAUUAGGUUAUGGGGCUUUGGUAAGGUUUAAGGUUUUUGGCAUUAUGGUUAAAAUCACUGUCCAAAACCUUUGUAGGAACUCUUUUCCAACCUUUUGGAGUUAGUUAGACCUAAAAAAAACGAAAAAUGAAAAAAAAAUGUUUGGGGUGUUCGGUCUUCCUGAAGGUAAUACCCGGGUAUUAGGCUAUGGGGCUAGGGUAAGGUUUUUGGCGUUAGGGUUAAAAUCACUGUCCAAAACCUUUGUAGGAACUCUUUUCCAACCUUUUGGAGUUAGUUAAACCCAAAAAAAAAUGGAAAAUGAAAAAGAAAUAUUUGGGGUAUUUGGGCUUCCUGAAGGUAAUACUCGGGUAUUAGGUUAUGGGGCUAGUGAAAGGUUUCAGGUUUUUGGCGUAAGGGUUAAAAUCACUGUCCAAAACCUUUGUAGGAACUCUUUUCCAACCUUUUGGAGUUAGACCAGAAAAAAAAUGAAAAAUGAAAAAAAAAAUAUUUGGGGUUUUCGGGCUUCCUGAAGGUAAUACCCGGGUAUUAGGUUUUGGGGCUAGGGUAAGGUUUAAGGUUUUUGGCGUUAGGGUUAAAAUCACUGUCCAAAACCUUUGUAGGAACUCCUUUCCAACCUUUUGGAGUUAGUUAAACCAAAAAAAAAAUUGUAAAAUGAAAAAGAAAUAUUUGGGGUGUUCGGGCUUCCUGAAGGUAAUACCCAGGUAUUAGGUCAUGGGGCUUUGGUAAGGUUUAAGGUUUUUGGCAUUAUGGUUAAAAUCACUGUCCAAAACCUUUGUAGGAACUCUUUUCCAACCUUUUGGAGUUAGUUAGACCUAAAAAAAACGAAAAAUGAAAAAAAAAUGUUGGGGUGUUCGGGCUUCCUGAAGGUAUUAGGUUAUGGGGCUAGGGAAAGGUUUAAGGUUUUUGGCGUUAGGGUUAAAAUCACUGUCCAAAACCUUUGUAGGAACUCUUUUCCAACCUUUUGGAGUUAGUUACACCAAAAAAAAAAUUUGUAAAAUGAAAAAGAAAUAUUUGGGGUGUUUGGUCUUCCUGAAGGUAAUACCCGGGUAUUAGGUUAAGGGGCUAGUGAAAGGUUUAAGGUUUUUGGCGUUAGGGUUAAAAUCACUGUCCAAAACCUUUGUAGGAACUCUUUUCCAACCUUUUGGAGUUAGUUAGAUCAGAAAAAUAAUGAAAAAUGAAAAAAAAAAUAUUUGGGGUUUUCGGGCUUUCUGAAGGUAACACCCAGGUAUUAGGUUUUGGGGCUAGGGUAAGGUUUAAGUUUUUUGGCGUUAGGGUUAAAAUCACUGUCCAAAACCUUUGUAGGAACUCCUUUCCAACCUUUUGGAGUUAGUUAAACCAAAAAAAAAAUUGUAAAAUGAGAAAGAAAUAUUUGGGGUGUUCGGGCUUCCUGAAGGUAAUACCCGGGUAUUAGGUUAUGGGGCUUUGGUAAGGUUUAAGGUUUUUGGCGUUAGGGUUAAAAUCCCUGUCCAAAACCUUUGUAGGAACUCUUUUCCAACCUUUUGGUGUUAGUUAGACCUAAAAAAAAACGAAAAAUGAAAAAAAAAUGUUUGGGGUGUUCGGGCUUCCUGAAGGUAAUACCCAGGUAUUAGGUUAUGGGGCUAGGGUAAGGUUUAAGGUUUUUGGCGUUAGGGUUAAAAUCACUGUCCAAAACCUUUGUAGGAACUCUUUUCCAACCUUUUGGAGUUAGUUAGACCAAAAAAAAAUGAAAAAUGAAAAAAAAAUAUUUGGGGUUUUCGGGCUUUCUGAAGGUAAUACCCGGGUAUUAGGUUAUGGGGCUAGGGUAAGGUUUAAGGUUUUUGGCGUUAGGGUUAAAAUCACUGUCCAAAACCUUUGUAGGAACUCUUUUCCAACCUUUUGGAGUUAGUUAGACCAAAAAAAAAAAAAAAUGAAAAAAAAAUAUUUGGGGUGUUCGGGCUUCCUGAAGGUAAUACCCGGGUAUUAGGCUAUGGGGCUAGGGUAAGGUUUUUGGCAUUAUGGUUAAAAUCACUGUCCAAAACCUUUGUAGGAACUCUUUUCCAACCUUUUGGAGUUAGUUACACCAAAAAAAAAAUUGUAAAAUGAAAAAGAAAUAUUUGGGGUAUUUGGGCUUCCUGAAGGUAAUACUCGGGUAUUAGGUUAUGGGGCUAGUGAAAGGUUUCAGGUUUUUGGCGUAAGGGUUAAAAUCACUGUCCAAAACCUUUGUAGGAACUCUUUUCCAACCUUUUGGAGUUAGUUAGACCAAAAAAAAAAUGAAAAAUGAAAAAAAAAAUAUUUGGGGUGUUCGGGCUUCCUGAAGGUAAUACCCGGGUAUUAGGUUAUGGGGCUAGGGUAAGGUUUAAGGUUUUUGGCGUUAGGGUUAAAAUCACUGUCCAAAACCUUUGUAGGAACUCUUUUCCAACCUUUUGGAGUUAGUUAAACCAAAAAAAAAAUUGUAAAAUGAAAAAGAAAUAUUUGGGGUGUUCGGGCUUCCUGAAGGUAAUACCCAGGUAUUAGGUUAUGGGGCUUUGGUAAGGUUUAAGGUUUUUGGCGUUAGGGUUAAAAUCACUGUCCAAAACCUUUGUAGGAACUCUUUUCCAACAUUUUGGAGUUAGUUAGACCGGAAAGAAAUGAAAAAUGAAAAAAAAAUAUUUGGGGUUUUCGGGCUUUCUGAAGGUAAUACCCAGGUAUUAGGUUACGGGGCUAGGGUAAGGUUUAAGGUUUUUGGCGUUAGGGUUAAAAUCCCUGUCCAAAACCUUUGUGGGAACUCUUUUCCAACCUUUUGGAGUUAGUUAGACCAAAAUAAAACAAAAAGUGAAAAAAAAAAUAUUUGGGGUUUUCGGUCUUCCUGAAGGUAAUACCCGGGUAUUAGGCUAUGGGGCUAGGGUAAGGUUUUUGGCGUUAGGGUUAAAAUCACUGUCCAAAACCUUUGUAGGAACUCUUUUCCAACCUUUUGGAGUUAGUUACACCAAAAAAAAAAUUGUAAAAUGAAAAAGAAAUAUUUGGGGUGUUUUGGCUUCCUGAAGGUAAUACUCGGGUAUUAGGUUAUGGGGCUAGGGAAAGGUUUAAGGUUUUUGGCGUUAGGGUUAAAAUCACUGUCCAAAACCUUUGUAGGAACUCUUUUCCAACCUUUUGGAGUUAGUUAAACCAAAAAAAAAAAUGUAAAAUGAAAAAGAAAUAUUUGGGGUGUAUGGGCUUCCUGAAGGUAAUACCCAGGUAUUAGGUUAUGGGGCUUUGGUAAGGUUUAAGGUUUUUGGCAUUAUGGUUAAAAUCACUGUCCAAAACCUUUGUCGGAACUCUUUUCCAACCUUUUGGAGUUAGUUAGACCUAAAAAAAACGAAAAAUGAAAAAAAAAUGUUGGGGUGUUCGGGCUUCCUGAAGGUAUUAGGUUAUGGGGCUAGGGAAAGGUUUAAGGUUUUUGGCGUAAGGGUUAAAAUCACUGUCCAAAACCUUUGUAGGAACUCUUUUCCAACCUUUUGGAGUUAGUUAGACCCGAAAGAAAUGAAAAAUGAAAAAAAAAUAUUUGGGGUUUUCGGGCUUCCUGAAGGUAAUACCCGGGUAUUAGGUUAUGGGGCUAGGGUAAGGUUUAAGGUUUUUGGCGUUAGGGUUAAAAUCCCUGUCCAAAACCUUUGUAGGAACUCUUUUCCAACCUUUUGGAGUUAGUUAGACCAAAAUAAAACAAAAAAUGAAAAAAAAAAAAAUUGGGGUGUUCGGUCUUCCUGAAGGUAAUACCCGGGUAUUAGGUCAUGGGGCUAGGGUAAGGUUUUUGGCGUUAGGGUUAAAAUCUCUGUCCAAAACCUUUGUAGGAACUCUUUUCCAACCUUUUGGAGUUAGUUACACCAAAAAAAAAAUUGUAAAUUGAAAAAGAAAUAUUUGGGGUGUUCGGGCUUCCUGAAGGUAAUACCCGGGUAUUAGGUUAUGGGGCUAGUGAAAGGUUUCAGGUUUUUGGCGUUAGGGUUAAAAUCACUGUCCAAAACCUUUGUAGGAACUCUUUUCCAACCUUUUGGAGUUAGUUAGACCAGAAAAAAAUAAAAAAUGAAAAAGAAAUAUUUGGGGUUUUCGGGCUUUCUGAAGGUAACACCCGGGUAUUAGGUUUUGGAGCUAGGCUAAGGUUUAAGUUUUUUGGCGUUAGGGUUAAAAUCACUGUCCAAAACCUUUGUAGGAACUCUUUUCCAACCUUUUGGAGUUAGUUACACCAAAAAAAAAAAUUGUAAAAUGAAAAAGAAAUAUUUGGGGUGUAUGGGCUUCCUGAAGGUAAUACCCGGGUAUUAGGUUAUGGGGCUAGGGUAAGGUUUAAGGUUUUUGGCGUUAGGGUUAAAAUCACUGUCCAAAACCUUUGUAGGAACUCUUUUCCAACCUUUUGGAGUUAGUUAGACCUAAAAAAAAUGAAAAAUGAAAAAAAAAUGUUGGGGUGUUCGGGCUUCCUGAAGGUAUUAGGUUAUGGGGCUAGGGAAAGGUUUAAGGUUUUUGGCGUAAGGGUUAAAAUCACUGUCCAAAACCUUUGUAGGAACUCCUUUCCAACCUUUUGGAGUUAGUUAAACCAAAAAAAAAAUUGUAAAAUGAAAAAGAAAUAUUUGGGGUGUAUGGGCUUCCUGAAGGUAAUACCCAGGUAUUAGGUUAUGGGGCUUUGGUAAGGUUUAAGGUUUUUGGCAUUAUGGUUAAAAUCACUGUCCAAAACCUUUGUCCGAACUCUUUUCCAACCUUUUGGAGUUAGUUGGACCAAAAAAAACGAAAAAUGAAAAAGAAAUAUUUGGGGUGUUCGGGCUUCCUGAAGGUAUUAGGCUAUGGGGCUAGGGAAAGGUUUAAGGUUUUUGGCGUAAGGGUUAAAAUCACUGUCCAAAACCUUUGUAGGAACUCUUUUCCAACCUUUUGGAGUUAGUUAGACCCGAAAGAAAUGAAAAAUGAAAAAAAAAAUAUUUGGGGUUUUCGGGCUUUCUGAAGGUAAUACCCGGGUAUUAGGUUAUGGGGCUAGGGUAAGGUUUAAGGUUUUUGGCGUUAGGGUUAAAAUCCCUGUCCAAAACCUUUGUAGGAACUCUUUUCCAACCUUUUGGAGUUAGUUAGACCAAAAUAAAACAAAAAAUGAAAAAAAAAAAAAUUGGGGUGUUCGGUCUUCCUGAAGGUAAUACCCGGGUAUUAGGUCAUGGGGCUAGGGUAAGGUUUUUGGCGUUAGGGUUAAAAUCUCUGUCCAAAACCUUUGUAGGAACUCUUUUCCAACCUUUUGGAGUUAGUUACACCAAAAAAAAAAUUGUAAAUUGAAAAAGAAAUAUUUGGGGUGUUCGGGCUUCCUGAAGGUAUUAGGCUAUGGGGCUAGGGAAAGGUUUAAGGUUUUUGGCGUAAGGGUUAAAAUCACUGUCCAAAACCUUUGUAGGAACUCUUUUCCAACAUUUUGGAGUUAGUUAGACCGGAAAGAAAUGGAAAAUGAAAAAAAAAUAUUUGGGGUUUUCGGGCUUUCUGAAGGUAAUACCCGGGUAUUAGGUUACGGGGCUAGGGUAAGGUUUAAGGUUUUUGGCGUUAGGGUUAAAAUCACUGUCCAAAACCUUUGUAGGAACUCUUUUCCAACCUUUUGGAGUUAGUUAGACCAAAAUAAAACAAAAAAUGAAAAAAAAAUAUUUGGGGUGUUCGGUCUUCCUGAAGGUAAUACCCGGGUAUUAGGUUAUGGGGCUAGUGAAAGGUUUCAGGUUUUUGGCGUUAGGGUUAAAAUCACUGUCCAAAACCUUUGUAGGAACUCUUUUCCAACCUUUUGGAGUUAGUUAGACCAGAAAAAAAUAAAAAAUGAAAAAGAAAUAUUUGGGGUUUUCGGGCUUUCUGAAGGUAAUACCCGGGUAUUAGGUUUUGGAGCUAGGGUAAGGUUUAAGGUUUUUGGCGUUAGGGUUAAAAUCACUGUCCAAAACCUUUGUAGGAACUCCUUUCCAACCUUUUGGAGUUAGUUAAACCAAAAAAAAAAUUGUAAAAUGAAAAAGAAAUAUUUGGGGUGGUCGGGCUUCCUGAAGGUAAUACCCAGGUAUUAGGUUAUGGGGCUUUGGUAAGGUUUAAGGUUUUUGGCGUUAGGGUUAAAAUCACUGUCCAAAACCUUUGUAGGAACUCUUUUCCAACCUUUUGGAGUUAGUUAGACCUAAAAAAAACGAAAAGAGAAAAAAAAAUGUUUGGGGUGUUCGGGCUUCCUGAAGGUAAUACCCGGGUAUUAGGUUAUGGGGCUAGGGUAAGGUUUAAGGUUUUUGGCGUUAGGGUUAAAAUCACUGUCCAAAACCUUUGUAGGAACUCUUUUCCAACCUUUUGGAGUUAGUUAGACCAAAAUAAAACAAAAAAUGAAAAAAAAAUAUUUGGGGUGUUCAGGCUUCCUGAAGGUAAUACCCGGGUAUUAGGUUAUGGGGCUAGGGUAAGGUUUUUGGCGUUAGGGUUAAAAUUACUGUCCAAAACCUUUGUAGGAACUCUUUUCCAACCUUUUGAAGUUAGUUACACCAAAAAGAAAAUUUGUAAAAUGAAAAAGAAAUAUUUGGGGUGUUCGGGCUUCCUGAAGGUAAUACCUGGGUAUUAGGUUAUGGGGCUAGUGAAAGGUUUAGGGUUUUUGGCGUUAGGGUUAAAAUCACUGUCCAAAACCUUUGUAGGAACUCUUUUCCAACCUUUUGGAGUUAGUUAGACCAGAAAAAAAUGAAAAAUGAAAAAAAAAAUAUUUGGGGUUUUCGGGCUCUCUGAAGGUAAUACCCGGGUAUUAGGUAAUGGGGCUGGGGUAAGGUUUAAGGUUUUUGGCGUUAGGGUUAAAAUCACUGUCCAAAACCUUUGUAGGAACUCUUUUCCAACAUUUUGGAGUUAGUUAGACCGGAAAGAAAUGAAAAAUGAAAAAAAAAUAUUUGGGGUUUUCGGGCUUUCUGAAGGUAAUACCCGGGUAUUAGGUUAUGGGGCUAGGGUAAGGUUUAAGGUUUUUGGCGUUAGGGUUAAAAUCACUGUCCAAAACCUUUGUAGGAACUCUUUUCCAACCUUUUGGAGUUAGUUAGACCAAAAUAAAACAAAAAGUGAAAAAAAAAUAUUUGGGGUGUUCGGGCUUCCUGAAGGUAAUACCCGGGUAUUAGGUUAUGGGGCUAGGGUAAGGUUUUUGGCGUUAGGGUUAAAAUCACUGUCCAAAACCUUUGUAGGAACUCUUUUCCAACCUUUUGGAGUUAGUUACAACAAAAAAAAAAAUUGUAAAUUGAAAAAGAAAUAUUUGGGGUGUUCGGGCUUCCUGAAGGUAAUACCCGGGUAUUAGGUUAUGGGGCUAGGCUAAGGUUUAAGUUUUUUGGCGUUAGGGUUAAAAUCACUGUCCAAAACCUUUGUAGGAACUCUUUUCCAACCUUUUGGAGUUAGUUAGACCUAAAAAAAACGAAAAAUGAAAAAAAAAUGUUGGGGUGUUCGGGCUUCCUGAAGGUAUUAGGUUCUGGGGCUAGGGUAAGGUUUAAGGUUUUUGGCGUUAGGGUUAAAAUCCCUGUCCAAAACCUUUGUAGGAACUCUUUUCCAACCUUUUGGAGUUAGUUAGACCAAAAAAAAAAAAAAUGAAAAAAAAAUAUUUGGGGUGUUCGGUCUUCCUGAAGGUAAUACCCGGGUAUUAGGUUAUGGGGCUAGGGUAAGGUUUUUGGCAUUAGGUUAUGGGGCUAGGGUAAGGUUUUUGGCGUUAGGGUUAAAAUCACUGUCCAAAACCUUUUAGGAACUCUUUUCCAACCUUUUGGAGUUAGUUACACCAAAAAAAAAAAUUGUAAAAUGAAAAAGAAAUAUUUGGGGUGUUUGGGCUUCCUGAAGGUAAUACCCGGGUAUUAGGUUAAGGGGCUAGUGAAAGGUUUCAGGUUUUUGGCGUUAGGGUUAAAAUCACUGUCCAAAACCUUUGUAGGAACUCUUUUCCAACCUUUUGGAGUUAGUUAGAGCAGAAAAAUAAUGAAAAAUGAAAAAAAAUAUAUUUGGGGUUUUCGGGCUUCCUGAAGGUAAUACCCGGGUAUUAGGUUAUGGGGCUAGGGUAAGGUUUAAGGUUUUUGGCGUUAGGGUUAAAAUCACUGUCCAAAACCUUUGUAGGAACUCUUUUCCAACCUUUUGGAGUUAGUUAGACCAAAAAAAAAUUGUAAAAUGAAAAAGAAAUAUUUGGGGUGUUCGGGCUUCCUGAAGGUAAUACCCAGGUAUUAGGUUAUGGGGCUUUGGUAAGGUUUAAGGUUUUUGGCGUUAGGGUUAAAAUCACUGUCCAAAACCUUUGUAGGAACUCUUUUCCAACCUUUUGGAGUUAGUUAGACCAAAAAAAACGAAAAAUGAAAAAAAAUAUUUGGGGUUUUCGGGCUUCCUGAAGGUAAUACCCGGGUAUUAGGUUAUGGGGCUAGGGUAAGGUUUAAGGUUUUUGGCGUUAGGGUUAAAAUCACUGUCCAAAACCUUUGUAGGAACUCUUUUCCAACCUUUUGGAGUUAGUUAGACCAAAAAAAAUGAAAAAUGAAAAAAAAAUAUUUGGGGUUUUCGGGCUUUCUGAAGGUAAUACCCGGGUUUUAGGUUACGGGGCUAGGGUAAGGUUUAAGGUUUUUGGCGUUAGGGUUAAAAUCCCUGUCCAAAACCUUUGUAGGAACUCUUUUCCAACCUUUUGGAGUUAGUUAGACCAAAAUAAAACAAAAAAUGAAAAAAAAAAAAUUGGGGUGUUCGGUCUUCCUGAAGGUAAUACCCGGGUAUUAGGUCAUGGGGCUAGGGUAAGGUUUUUGGCGUUAGGGUUAAAAUCUCUGUCCAAAACCUUUGUAGGAACUCUUUUCCAACCUUUUGGAGUUAGUUACACCAAAAAAAAAAUUGUAAAUUGAAAAAGAAAUAUUUGGGGUGUUCGGGCUUCCUGAAGGUAAUACCCGGGUAUUAGGUUAUGGGGCUAGGGUAAGGUUUAAGGUUUUUGGCGUUAGGGUUAAAAUCACUGUCCAAAACCUUUGUAGGAACUCUUUUCCAACCUUUUGGAGUUAGUUAGACCAAAAUAAAACAAAAAAUGAAAAAGAAAUAUUUGGGGUGUUCGGGCUUCCUGAAGGUAAUACCCGGGUAUUAGGUUUUGGAGCUAGGCUAAGGUUUAAGUUUUUUGGCGUUAGGGUUAAAAUCACUGUCCAAAACCUUUGUAGGAACUCUUUUCCAACCUUUUGGAGUUAGUUACACCCGAAAGAAAUGAAAAAUGAAAAAAAAAUAUUUGGGGUUUUCUGGCUUUCUGAAGGUAAUACCCGGGUUUUAGGUUACGGGGCUAGGGUAAGGUUUAAGGUUUUUGGCGUUAGGGUUAAAAUCACUGUCCAAAACCUUUGUAGGAACUCUUUUCCAACCUUUUGGAGUUAGUUAGACCAAAAUAAAACAAAAAAUGAAAAAAAAAAAAUUGGGGUGUUCGGUCUUCCUGAAGGUAAUACCCGGGUAUUAGGUCAUGGGGCUAGGGUAAGGUGAUUGGUGUUAGGGUUAAAAUCACUGUCCAAAACCUUUGUAGGAACUCUUUUCCAACCUUUUGGAGUUAGUUACACCAAAAAAAAAAUUGUAAAAUGAAAAAGAAAUAUUUGGGGUGUUCGGGCUUCCUGAAGGUAAUACCCGGGUAUUAGGUUAUGGGGCUAGGGUAAGGUUUAAGGUUUUUGGCGUUAGGGUUAAAAUCACUGUCCAAAACCUUUGUAGGAACUCUUUUCCAACCUUUUGGAGUUAGUUAGACCAAAAUAAAACAAAAAAUGAAAAAAAAAUAUUUGGGGUGUUCAGGCUUCCUGAAGGUAAUACCCGGGUAUUAGGUUAUGGGGCUAGGGUAAGGUUUUUGGCGUUAGGGUUAAAAUUACUGUCCAAAACCUUUGUAGGAACUCUUUUCCAACCUUUUGGAGUUAGUUAGACCAAAAAAAUAAAAAAUGAAAAAGAAAUAUUUGGGGUUUUCGGGCUUUCUGAAGGUAACACCCGGGUGUUAGGUUUUGAGCUAGGCUAAGGUUUAAUUUUUUGGCGUUAGGGUUAAAAUCACUGUCCAAAACCUUUGUAGGAACUCUUUUCCAACAUUUUGGAGUUAGUUAGACCUAAAAAAAACGAAAAGAGAAAAAAAAAUGUUUUGGGUGUUCGGGCUUCCUGAAGGUAAUACCCGGGUAUUAGGUUAUGGGGCUAGGGUAAGGUUUAAGGUUUUUGGCGUUAGGGUUAAAAUCACUGUCCAAAACCUUUGUAGGAACUCUUUUCCAACCUUUUGGAGUUAGUUAGACCAAAAAAAAAUAAAAAUGAAAAAAAAAUAUUUGGGGUGUUCGGGCUUCCUGAAGGUAAUACCCGGGUAUUAGGUUAUGGGGCUAGGGUAAGGUUUUUGGCGUUAGGGUUAAAAUCACUGUCCAAAACCUUUGUAGGAACUCUUUUCCAACCUUUUGGAGUUAGUUAGACCAGAAAAAAAAAAAUUGUAAAAUGAAAAAGAAAUAUUUGGGGUGUUCGGGCUUCCUGAAGGUAAUACCUGGGUAUUAGGUUAUGGGGCUAGUGAAAGGUUUAGGGUUUUUGGCGUUAGGGUUAAAAUCACUGUCCAAAACCUUUGUAGGAACUCUUUUCCAACCUUUUGGAGUUAGUUAGACCAGAAAAAAAUGAAAAAUGAAAAAAAUAUAUAUUUGGGGUGUUCGGGCUCUCUGAAGGUAAUACCCGGGUAUUAGGUAAUGGGGCUGGGGUAAGGUUUAAGGUUUUUGGCGUUAGGGUUAAAAUCACUGUCCAAAACCUUUGUAGGAACUCUUUUCCAACCUUUUGGAGUUAGUUAGACCUAAAAAAAACGAAAAAUGAAAAAAAAAAUGUUUGGGGUGUUCGGGCUUCCUGAAGGUAAUACCCGGGUAUUAGGUUAUGGGGCUAGGGUAAGGUUUAAGGUUUUUGGCGUUAGGGUUAAAAUCACUGUCCAAAACCUUUGUAGGAACUCUUUUCCAACCUUUUGGAGUUAGUUAGACCCAAAAAAAAUUAAAAAUGAAAAAUAAAAUAUUUGGGGUUUUGGGCUUCCUGAAGGUAAUACCCGGGUAUUAGGUUUUGGGGCUAGGGUAAGGUUUAAGGUUUUUGGCGUUAGGGUUAAAAUCACUGUCCAAAACCUUUGUAGGAACUCUUUUCCAACCUUUUGGAGUUAGUUAGACCAAAAUAAAACAAAAAAUGAAAAGAAAAUAUUUGGGGUGUUCGGUCUUCCUGAAGGUAAUACCCAGGUAUCAGGGUAAUCAGGCUAGGGUCAGGUUUAAGGUUUUUGGCGUUAGGGUUAAAAUCACUGUCCAAAACCUUUGUAGGAACUCUUUUCCAACCUUUUGGAGUUAGUUAGACCAAAAUAAAACAAAAAAUGAAAAAAAAAAUAUUUGGGGUGUUCGGUCUUCCUGAAGGUAAUACCCGGGUAUUAGGUUAUGGGGCUAGGGUAAGGUUUUUGGCGUUAGGGUUAAAAUCACUGUCCAAAACCUUUGUAGGAACUCUUUUCCAACCUUUUGGAGUUAGUUAGACCAAAAAAAAAAAAGGAAAGGAAAAAGAAAUAUUUGGGGUGUUCGGGCUUCCUGAAGGUAAUACCCGGGUAUUAGGUUAUGGGGCUAGUGAAAGGUUUCAGGUUUUUGGCGUUAGGGUUAAAAUCACUGUCCAAAACCUUUGUAGGAACUCUUUUCCAACCUUUUGGAGUUAGUUAGACCAGAAAAAAAAAAUUGUAAAAUGAAAAAAAAAUAUUUGGGGUGUUCGGGUUUCCUGAAGGUAACCCGGGUGUUAGGUUUUGGAGCUAGGCUAAGGUUUAAUUUUUUUGGCGUUAGGGUUAAAAUCACUGUCCAAAACCUUUGUAGGAACUUUUUUCCAACCUUUUGGAGUUAGUUAGACCAAAAAAAAAAAAGGAAAGGAAAAAGAAAUAUUUGGGGUGUUCGGGCUUCCUGAAGGUAAUACCCGGGUAUUAGGUUAUGGGGCUAGGGUAAGGUUUAAGGUUUUUGGCGUUAGGGUUAAAAUCACUGUCCAAAACCUUUGUAGGAACUCUUUUCCAACCUUUUGGAGUUAGUUAGACCUAAAAAAAAACGAAAAGAGAAAAAAAAAUGUUUGGGGUGUUCGGGCUUCCUGAAGGUAAUACCCAGGUAUUAGGUUAUGGGGCUAGGGUAAGGUUUAAGGUUUUUGGCGUUAGGGUUAAAAUCACUGUCCAAAACCUUUGUAGGAACUCUUUUCCAACCUUUUGGAGUUAGUUAGACCAAAAUAAAAAAAAAAAUGAAAAAAAAAUAUUUGGGGUGUUCGGGCUUCCUGAAGGUAAUACCCGGGUAUUAGGUUAUGGGGCUAGGGUAAGGUUUUUGGCGUUAGGGUUAAAAUCACUGUCCAAAACCUUUGUAGGAACUCUUUUCCAACCUUUUGGAGUUAGUUACACCAAAAAAAAAAAAUCUUAAAAUGAAAAAGAAAUAUUUGGGGUGUUCGGGCUUCCUGAAGGUAAUACCCGGGUAUUAGGUUAUGGGGCUAGGGUAAGGUUUAAGGUUUUUGGCGUUAGGGUUAAAAUCACUGUCCAAAACCUUUGUAGGAACUCUUUUCCAACCUUUUGGAGUUAGUUAGACCUAAAAAAAACGAAAAAUGAAAAAAAAAUGUUUGGGGUGUUCGGGCUUCCUGAAGGUAAUACCCGGGUAUUAGGUUAUGGGGCUAGGGUAAGGUUUAAGGUUUUUGGCGUUAGGGUUAAAAUCACUGUCCAAAACCUUUGUAGGAACUCUUUUCCAACCUUUUGGAGUUAGUUAGACCAAAAUAAAACAAAAAAUGAAAAAAAAAUAUUUGGGGUGUUCAGGCUUCCUGAAGGUAAUACCCGGGUAUUAGGUUAUGGGGCUAGGGUAAGGUUUUUGGCGUUAGGGUUAAAAUCACUGUCCAAAACCUUUGUAGGAACUCCUUUCCAACCUUUUGGAGUUAGUUAAACCAAAAAAAAAAAGAAAAAGGAACAAGAAAUAUUUGGGGUGUUCGGGCUUCCUGAAGGUAAUACCCGGGUAUUAGGUUAUGGGGCUAGGGUAAGGUUUAAGGUUUUUGGCGUUAUGGUUAAAAUCACUGUCCAAAACCUUUGUAGGAACUCUUUUCCAACCUUUUGGAGUUAGUUAGACCGAAAAGAAAUCCAAAAUAAAAAAAUAUAUUUGGGGUGUUCGGGCUUCCUGAAGGUAAUACCCAGGUAUCAGGGUAAUCAGGCUAGGGUCAGGUUUAAGGUUUUUGGCGUUAGGGUUAAAAUCCCUGUCCAAAACCUUUGUAGGAACUCUUUUCCAACCUUUUGGAGUUAGUUACACCAAAAAUGAACAAAAAAUGAAAAAAAAAUAUUUGGGGUGUUCGGUCUUCCUGAAGAUAUUAGAUUAUGGGGCUAUGGAAAGGUUUAAGGUUUUUGGCAUUAUGGUUAAAAUCACUGUCCAAAACAUUUAUUUACUUGCUUAUUUAGUUAUUUACUCAUUUAUUUAUUAUUUCUAUUACUAUUACUAUUAUUAUUAUUAUUAUUAUUAUAAUGUGUAUAUGCAUCUACAUGUGUAUGUAUAUAUAUAUAUAUAUAUAUAUGUAUAUGUGUGUGUAUGUAUGUAUAUAUAUAUAUAUAUAUAUAUAUAUAUAUAUAUAUUUUAUUUAUUAUUAUUAUAAUAUUUUUUUUAUUGUUGUUUCCAUUUGUAUUUGUUAACCCUUUUGUGUCUGUGUAUAUGUGUAUGCAUGGGCAUACAUGUAUAUUUAGAUGUUAAUAUAUAUACAUAUAUAUUUAGUUGUUAUGGGUGUUACUUUAAUGAUGUCUCCUGUUCUGUUAUAACUUCCAUUACUAUCUAUAGUCUUUUUUUUUUAACCCAUUAUUUUAAAUUACUUGCUUAUUAGGUGUUUGUAUGUAUUCAGUUAUUUUUAUAUAUUUAUUUAUGUAUUUAUUUAUUUUUAUGUACAUAUCAUUUAUAUUUUGUGAACUGAUAUAAUUAUAAUUACAUAUAGUAUAUAUAUUGUAUAUUUUCUAUUACUAUAGUUAUUAUUCUAUUUUAUAGUAUGUGUAUGUAUAUUUAUAUUUAUUGUUAUAUACUUAUUAAUAUUUUUUUAUUUAUUAUUUUGUCUUAUUUUAUUCAUAUAUUUUCUUGUAUCUCAACGAUGAUUUGAGUAGAGAUUGUGAUUGCUUUAUGUUUAGCUACAUUGAUGCAUCCGAUCCAACAAGGCAAGUGGUACAAGGAGUAGCACAGUGGCGUACUUUGCAAGCCAGAGAGGAAUGAGUGCAGUUGGUGGUGACUUGGGGAGGGAGGGAGGGAUGUUUUGUGUUUUUGUGUUUGUGUUUGUACUGUUUAAAAGAAAAAUGGAAAUAAAAAAUGUUAAUCAUAAAAAAAAAUCACUGUCCAAAACCUUUGUAGGAACUCUUUUCCAACCUUUUGGAGUUAGUUAGACCUAAAAAAAAUAAAAAAUGAAAAAAAAAUGUUUGGGGUGUUCGGGCUUCCUGAAGGUAAUACCCAGGUAUUAGGUUAUGGGGCUAGGGUAAGGUUUAAGGUUUUUGGCGUUAGGGUCAAAAUCACUGUCCAAAACCUUUGUAGGAACUCUUUUCCAACGUUUUGGAGUUAGUUAGACCGGAAAGAAAUGAAAAAUGAAAAAAAAAUAUUUGGGGUUUUCGGGCUUCCUGAAGGUAAUACCCGGGUAUUAGGUUAUGGGGCUAGGGUAAGGUUUAAGGUUUUUGGCGUUAGGGUUAAAAUCACUGUCCAAAAUCUUUGUAGGAACUCUUUUCCAACCUUUUAGAGUUAGUUAGACCUAAAAAAAACGAAAAAUGAAAAAAAAAUGUUUGGGGUGUUCGGGCUUCCUGAAGGUAAUACCCGGGUAUUAGGUUUUGGGGCUAGGGUAAGUUUUUUUGGCGUUAGGGUUAAAAUCACUGUCCAAAACCUUUGUAGGAACUCCUUUCCAACCUUUUGGAGUUAGUUAAACCAAAAAAAAAAGAAAAAGGAACAAGAAAUAUUUGGGGUGUUCGGUCUUCCUGAAGGUAAUACCCGGGUAUUAGAUUAUGGGGCUAUGGAAAGGUUUAAUGUUUUUGGCGUUAGGGUUAAAAUCACUGUCCAAAACCUUUGUAGGAACUCUUUUCCAACCUUUUGGAGUUAGUUAGACCAAAAAAAAAAUUGUAAAAUGAAAAAGAAAUAUUUGGGGUGUUCGGGCUUCCUGAAGGUAAUACCCGGGUAUUAGGUUAUGGGGCUAGGGUAAGGUUUAAGGUUUUUGGCGUUAGGGUUAAAAUCACUGUCCAAAACCUUUGUAGGAACUCUUUUCCAACCUUUUGGAGUUAGUUAGACCCAAAAAAAAUGAAAAAUGAAAAAAAAAUAUUUUGGGGUGUUCGGGCUUCCUGAAGGUAAUACCCGGGUAUUAGGUUAUGGGGCUAGGGUAAGGUUUAAGGUUUUUGGCGUUAGGGUUAAAAUCACUGUCCAAAACCUUUGUAGGAACUCUUUUCCAACCUUUUGGAGUUAGUUACACCAAAAAUGAACGAAAAAUGAAAAAAAAAUAUUUGGGGUGUUCGGUCUUCCUGAAGGUAUUAGAUUAUGGGGCUAUGGAAUAGGUUUAAUGUUUUUGGCGUUAGGGUUAAAAUCACUGUCCAAAACCUUUUUAGGAACUCUUUUCCAACCUUUUGGAGUUAGUUAGACCUAAAAAAAAUUGUAAAAUGAAAAAGAAAUAUUUGGGGUGUUUGGGCUUCCUGAAGGCAAUACCCAGGUAUUAGGUUAUUGGGCUAGGGAAAGGUUUAAGGUUUUUGGCGUGAGGGUUAAAAUCACUGUCCAAAACCUUUGUAGGAACUCUUUUCCAACCUUUUGGAGUUAGUUAGACCAAAAUAAAAUGAAAAAUGAAAAAAAAUAUAUUUGGGGUUUUCGGGCUUUCUGAAGGUAACACCCGGGUAUUAGGUUUUGGGGCUAGGGUAAGGUUUAAGUUUUUUGGCGUUAGGGUUAAAAUCACUGUCCAAAACCUUUGUAGGAACUUCUUUCCAACCUUUUGGAGUUAGUUAAACCAAAAAAAAAAUUGUAAAAUGAAAAAGAAAUAUUUGGGGUGUUUGGGCUUCCUGAAGGUAAUACCCAGGUAUUAGGUUAUGGGGCUUUGGUAAGGUUUAAGGUUUUUGGCAUUAUGGUUAAAAUCACUGUCCAAAACAUUUAUUUACUUGCUUAUUUAGUUAUUUACUCAUUUAUUUAUUAUUUCUAUUACUAUUACUAUUAUUAUUAUUAUUAUUAUAAUGUGUAUAUGCAUCUACAUGUGUAUGUAUAUAUAUAUAUAUAUAUAUAUAUAUGUAUAUGUGUGUGUAUGUAUGUAUAUAUAUAUAUAUAUUUUAUUUAUUAUUAUUAUUAUUUUUUUUUUAUUGUUGUUUCCAUUUGUAUUUGUUAACCCUUUUGUGUCUGUGUAUAUGUGUAUGCAUGGGCAUACAUGUAUAUUUAGAUGUUAAUAUAUAUACAUAUAUAUUUAGUUGUUAUGGGUGUUACUUUAAUGAUGUCUCCUGUUCUGUUAUAACUUCCAUUACUAUCUAUAGUCUUUUUUUUUUAACCCAUUAUUUUAAAUUACUUGCUUAUUAGGUGUUUGUAUGUAUUCAGUUAUUUUUAUAUAUUUAUUUAUGUAUUUAUUUAUUUUUAUGUACAUAUCAUUUAUAUUUUGUGAACUGAUAUAAUUAUAAUUACAUAUAGUAUAUAUAUUGUAUAUUUUCUAUUACUAUAGUUAUUAUUCUAUUUUAUAGUAUGUGUAUGUAUAUUUAUAUUUAUUGUUAUAUACUUAUUAAUAUUUUUUUAUUUAUUAUUUUGUCUUAUUUUAUUCAUAUAUUUUCUUGUAUCUCAACGAUGAUUUGAGUAGAGAUUGUGAUUGCUUUAUGUUUAGCUACAUUGAUGCAUCCGAUCCAACAAGGCAAGUGGUACAAGGAGUAGCACAGUGGCGUACUUUGCAAGCCAGAGAGGAAUGAGUGCAGUUGGUGGUGACUUGGGGAGGGAGGGAGGGAUGUUUUGUGUUUUUGUGUUUGUGUUUGUACUGUUUAAAAGAAAAAUGGAAAUAAAAAAUGUUAAUCAUAAAAAAAAAUCACUGUCCAAAACCUUUGUAGGAACUCUUUUCCAACCUUUUGGAGUUAGUUAGACCUAAAAAAAAUAAAAAAUGAAAAAAAAAUGUUUGGGGUGUUCGGGCUUCCUGAAGGUAAUACCCAGGUAUUAGGUUAUGGGGCUAGGGUAAGGUUUAAGGUUUUUGGCGUUAGGGUCAAAAUCACUGUCCAAAACCUUUGUAGGAACUCUUUUCCAAUGUUUUGGAGUUAGUUAGACCGGAAAGAAAUGAAAAAUGAAAAAAAAAUAUUUGGGGUUUUCGGGCUUUCUGAAGGUAAUACCCGGGUAUUAGGUUACGGGGCUAGGGUAAGGUUUAAGGUUUUUGGCGUUAGGGUUAAAAUCCCUGUCCAAAAUCUUUGUAGGAACUCUUUUCCAACCUUUUAGAGUUAGUUAGACCUAAAAAAAACGAAAAAUGAAAAAAAAAUGUUUGGGGUGUUCGGGCUUCCUGAAGGUAAUACCCGGGUAUUAGGUUUUGGGGCUAGGGUAAGGUUUUUGGCGUUAGGGUUAAAAUCACUGUCCAAAACCUUUGUAGGAACUCCUUUCCAACCUUUUGGAGUUAGUUAAACCAAAAAAAAAAGAAAAAGGAACAAGAAAUAUUUGGGGUGUUCGGUCUUCCUGAAGGUAAUACCCGGGUAUUAGAUUAUGGGGCUAUGGAAAGGUUUAAUGUUUUUGGCGUUAGGGUUAAAAUCACUGUCCAAAACCUUUUUAGGAACAUGUUUCCAACCUUUUGGAGUAAGUUAAACGAAAAAAAAAUUGUAAAAUGAAAAAGAAAUAUUUGGGGUGUUUGGGCUUCCUGAAGGUAAUACCCGGGUAUAAGGUUAUGGGGCUAGGGUAAGAUUUAAGGUUUUUGGCGUUAGGUUUAAAAUCACUGUCCAAAACCUUUGUAGGAACUCUUUUCCAACCUUUUGGAGUUAGUUAGACCCAAAAAAAAUGAAAAAUGAAAAAUAAAAUAUUUUGGGUUUUGGGCUUCCUGAAGGUAAUACCCGGGUAUUAGGUUUUGGGGCUAGGGUAAGGUUUAAGGUUUUUGGCGUUAGGGUUAAAAUCACUGUCCAAAACCUUUGUAGGAACUCUUUUCCAACCUUUUGGAGUUAGUUACACCAAAAAUGAACGAAAAAUGAAAAAAAAAUAUUUGGGGUGUUCGGUCUUCCUGAAGGUAUUAGAUUAUGGGGCUAUGGAAAGGUUUAAUGUUUUUGGCGUUAGGGUUAAAAUCACUGUCCAAAACCUUUUUAGGAACAUGUUUCAGACCUUAUGGAGUUAGUUAGACCUAAAAAAAAUUGUAAAAUGAAAAAGAAAUAUUUGGGGUGUUUGGGCUUCCUGAAGGCAAUACCCAGGUAUUAGGUUAUUGGGCUAGGGAAAGGUUUAAGGUUUUUGGCGUGAGGGUUAAAAUCACUGUCCAAAACCUUUGUAGGAACUCUUUUCCAACCUUUUGGAGUUAGUUAGACCAAAAUAAAAUGAAAAAUGAAAAAAAGAAUAUUUGGGGUUUUCGGGCUUUCUGAAGGUAACACCCGGGUAUUAGGUUUUGGGGCUAGGGUAAGGUUUAAGUUUUUUGGCGUUAGGGUUAAAAUCACUGUCCAAAACCUUUGUAGGAACUUCUUUCCAACCUUUUGGAGUUAGUUAAACCAAAAAAAAAAUUGUAAAAUGAAAAAGAAAUAUUUGGGGUGUUCGGGCUUCCUGAAGGUAAUACCCAGGUAUUAGGUUAUGGGGCUUUGGUAAGGUUUAAGGUUUUUGGCAUUAUGGUUAAAAUCACUGUCCAAAACAUUUAUUUACUUGCUUAUUUAGUUAUUUACUCAUUUAUUUAUUAUUUCUAUUACUAUUACUAUUAUUAUUAUUAUUAUUAUAAUGUGUAUAUGCAUCUACAUGUGUAUGUAUAUAUAUAUAUAUAUAUAUAUAUGUAUAUGUGUGUGUAUGUAUGUAUAUAUAUAUAUAUAUUUUAUUUAUUAUUAUUAUAAUAUUUUUUUUAUUGUUGUUUCCAUUUGUAUUUGUUAACCCUUUUGUGUCUGUGUAUAUGUGUAUGCAUGGGCAUACAUGUAUAUUUAGAUGUUAAUAUAUAUACAUAUAUAUUUAGUUGUUAUGGGUGUUACUUUAAUGAUGUCUCCUGUUCUGUUAUAACUUCCAUUACUAUCUAUAGUCUUUUUUUUUUAACCCAUUAUUUUAAAUUACUUGCUUAUUAGGUGUUUGUAUGUAUUCAGUUAUUUUUAUAUAUUUAUUUAUGUAUUUAUUUAUUUUUAUGUACAUAUCAUUUAUAUUUUGUGAACUGAUAUAAUUAUAAUUACAUAUAGUAUAUAUAUUGUAUAUUUUCUAUUACUAUAGUUAUUAUUCUAUUUUAUAGUAUGUGUAUGUAUAUUUAUAUUUAUUGUUAUAUACUUAUUAAUAUUUUUUUAUUUAUUAUUUUGUCUUAUUUUAUUCAUAUAUUUUCUUGUAUCUCAACGAUGAUUUGAGUAGAGAUUGUGAUUGCUUUAUGUUUAGCUACAUUGAUGCAUCCGAUCCAACAAGGCAAGUGGUACAAGGAGUAGCACAGUGGCGUACUUUGCAAGCCAGAGAGGAAUGAGUGCAGUUGGUGGUGACUUGGGGAGGGAGGGAGGGAUGUUUUGUGUUUUUGUGUUUGUGUUUGUACUGUUUAAAAGAAAAAUGGAAAUAAAAAAUGUUAAUCAUAAAAAAAAAUCACUGUCCAAAACCUUUGUAGGAACUCUUUUCCAACCUUUUGGAGUUAGUUAGACCUAAAAAAAAUAAAAAAUGAAAAAAAAAUGUUUGGGGUGUUCGGGCUUCCUGAAGGUAAUACCCAGGUAUUAGGUUAUGGGGCUAGGGUAAGGUUUAAGGUUUUUGGCGUUAGGGUUAAAAUCACUGUCCAAAACCUUUGUAGGAACUCUUUUCCAACCUUUUGGAGUUAGUUAGACCGGAAAGAAAUGAAAAAUGAAAAAAAAAUAUUUGGGGUUUUCGGGCUUUCUGAAGGUAAUACCCGGGUAUUAGGUUACGGGGCUAGGGUAAGGUUUAAGGUUUUUGGCGUUAGGGUUAAAAUCACUGUCCAAAACCUUUGUAGGAACUCUUUUCCAACCUUUUGGAGUUAGUUAGACCUAAAAAAAACGAAAAAUGAAAAAAAAAUAUUUGGGGUGUUCGGGCUUCCUGAAGGUAAUACCCGGGUAUUAGGUUAUGGGGCUAGGGUAAGGUUUUUGGCGUUAGGGUUAAAAUCACUGUCCAAAACCUUUGUAGGAACUCCUUUCCAACCUUUUGGAGUUAGUUAAACCAAAAAAAAAAGAAAAAGGAACAAGAAAUAUUUGGGGUGUUCGGUCUUCCUGAAGGUAAUACCCGGGUAUUAGGUUAUGGGGCUAGGGUAAGGUUUCAGGUUUUUGGAGUUAGGGUUAAAAUCACUGUCCAAAACCUUUGUAGGAACUCCUUUCCAACCUUUUGGAGUUAGUUAAACCAAAAAAAAAAGAAAAAGGAACAAGAAAUAUUUGGGGUGUUCGGUCUUCCUGAAGGUAAUACCCGGGUAUUAGGUUAUGGGGCUAGGGUAAGGUUUAAAUGUUUUUGGAGUUAGGGUUAAAAUCACUGUCCAAAACCUUUGUAGGAACUCUUUUCCAACCUUUUGGAGUUAGUUAGACCGAAAAGAAGUCAAAAAUAAAAAAACAUAUUUUGGGUGUUCGGGCUUCCUGAAUGUAAUACCCAGGUAUCAGGGUAAUCAGGCUAGGGUCAGGUUUAAGGUUUUUGGCGUAAGGGUUAAAAUCACUGUCCAAAACCUUUGUAGGAACUCUUUUCCAACCUUUUGGAGUUAGAUACACCAAAAAUGAACAAAAAAUGAAAAAAAAAUAUUUGGGGUGUUCGGUCUUCCUGAAGGUAAUACCCAGGUAUUAGGUUAUGGGGCUAGGGUAAGGUUUAAGGUUUUUGGCGUUAGGGUCAAAAUCACUGUCCAAAACCUUUGUAGGAACUCUUUUCCAACCUUUUGGAGUUAGUUAGACCAAAAAAAAAUGAAAAAUGAAAAAAAAAUAUUUGGGGUGUUCGGGCUUCCUGAAGGUAAUACCCGGGUAUUAGGUUACGGGGCUAGGGUAAGGUUUAAGGUUUUUGGCGUUAGGGUUAAAAUCCCUGUCCAAAAUCUUUGUAGGAACUCUUUUCCAACCUUUUAGAGUUAGUUAGACCUAAAAAAAACGAAAAAUGAAAAAUAAAUGUUUGGGGUGUUCAGGCUUCCUGAAGGUAAUACCCGGGUAUUAGGUUACGGGGCUAGGGUAAGGUUUAAGGUUUUUGGCAUUAGGGUUAAAAUCCCUGUCCAAAACCUUUGUAGGAACUCUUUUCCAACCUUUUGGAGUUAGUUAGACCAAAAUAAAACAAAAAAUGAAAAAAAAAUAUUUGGGAUGUUCGGUCUUCCUGAAGGUAAUACCCGGGUAUUAGGUUAUGGGGCUAGGGUAAGGUUUUUGGCGUUAGGGUUAAAAUCACUGUCCAAAACCUUUGUAGGAACUCUUUUCCAACCUUUUGGAGUUAGUUACACCAAAAAAAAAAUUGUAAAAUGAAAAAGAAAUAUUUGGGCUUCCUGAAGGUAAUACUCGGGUAUUAGGUUAUGGGGCUAGUGAAAGGUUUCAGGUUUUUGGCGUAAGGGUUAAAAUCACUGUCCAAAACCUUUGUAGGAACUCUUUUCCAACCUUUUGGAGUUAGUUAGACCAGAAAAAAAAUGAAAAAUGAAAAAAAAAUAUUUGGGGUUUUCGGGCUUCCUGAAGGUAAUACCCGGGUAUUAGGUUAUGGGGCUAGGGUAAGGUUUAAGGUUUUUGGCAUUAGGGUUAAAAUCACUGUCCAAAACCUUUGUAGGAACUCUUUUCCAACCUUUUGGAGUUAGUUACACCAAAAAAAAAAUUGUAAAAUGAAAAAGAAAUAUUUGGGGUGUUCGGGCUUCCUGAAGGUAAUACCCGGGUAUUAGGUUAUGGGGCUUGGGUAAGGUUUAAGGUUUUUGGCGUUAGGGUUAAAAUCACUGUCCAAAACCUUUGUAGGAACUCUUUUCCAACCUUUUGGAGUUAGUUAGACCUAAAAAAAAUGAAAAAUGAAAAAAAAAUAUUUGGGGUUUUCGGGCUUCCUGAAGGUAAUACCCGGGUAUUAGGUUAUGGGGCUAGGGUAAGGUUUAAGGUUUUUGGCGUUAGGGUUAAAAUCACUGUCCAAAACCUUUGUAGGAACUCUUUUCCAACCUUUUGGAGUUAGUUAGACCAAAAAAAACGAAAAAUGAAAAAGAAAUAUUUGGGGUUUUCGGGCUUUCUGAAGGUAAUACCCGGGUAUUAGGUAAUGGGGCUAAGGUUUAAGGUUUUUGGCGUUAGGGUUAAAAUCACUGUCCAAAACCUUUGUAGGAACUCUUUCCAACCUUUUGGAGUUAGUUAACCAAAAAAAAAAUUGUAAAAUGAAAAAGAAAUAUUUGGGGUGUUCGGGCUUCCUGAAGGUAAUACCCGGGUAUUAGGUUAUGGGGCUUUGGUAAGGUUUAAGGUUUUUGGCGUUAGGGUUAAAAUCACUGUCCAAAACCUUUGUAGGAACUCUUUUCCAACCUUUUGGAGUUAGUUAGACCAAAAUAAAACAAAAAAUGAAAAAAAAAUAUUUGGGAUGUUCGGUCUUCCUGAAGGUAAUACCUGGGUAUUAGGUUAUGGGGCUAGGGUAAUGUUUAAGGUUUUUGGCGUUAGGGUUAAAAUCAAUGUCCAAAACCUUUGUAUGAACUCUUUUCCAACCUUUUGGAGUUAGUUAGACCAAAAUAAAACAAAAAAUGAAAAAAAAAAUAUUUGGGGUGUUCGGUCUUCCUGAAGGUAAUACCCGGGUAUUAGGUUAUGGGGCUAGGGUAAGGUUUUUGGCGUUAGGGUUAAAAUCACUGUCCAAAACCUUUGUAGGAACUCUUUUCCAACCUUUUGGAGUUAGUUACACCAAAAAAAAAUUUGUAAAAUGAACAAGAAAUAUUUGGGGUGUUCGGUCUUCCUGAAGGUAAUACCCGGGUAUUAGGUCAUGGGGCUGGUGAAAGGUUUAGGGUUUUUGGCGUUAGGGUUAAAAUCACUGUCCAAAACCUUUGUAGGAACUCUUUUCCAACCUUUUGGAGUUAGUUAGACCAGAAAAGAAAUCAAAAAUAAAAAAACAUAUUUGGGGUGUUCGGGCUUCCUGAAGGUAAUACUCAGAUAUCAGGGUAAUCAGGCUAGGGUCAGGUUUAAGGUUUUUGGCGUUAGGGUUAAAAUCCCUGUCCAAAACCUUUGUAGGAACUCUUUUCCAACCUUUUGGAGUUAGUUAGACCAAAAUAAAACAAAAAAUGAAAAAAAAAUAUUUGGGGUGUUCGGUCUUCCUGAAGGUAAUACCCGGGUAUAAGGUUAUGGGGCUAGGGUAAGGUUUUUGGCGUUAGGGUUAAAAUCACUGUCCAAAACCUUUGUAGGAACUCUUUUCCAACCUUUUGGAGUUAGUUACACCAAAAAAAAAAUUGUAAAAUGAAAAAGAAAUAUUUGGGGUGUUCAGGCUUCCUGAAGGUAAUACCCGGGUAUUAGGUUAUGGGGCUAGUGAAAGGUUUAAGGUUUUUGGCGUUAUGGUUAAAAUCACUGUCCAAAACCUUUGUAGGAACUCUUUUCCAACCUUUUGGAGUUAGUUAGACCAAAAUAAAACAAAAAAUGAAAAAAAAAUAUUUGGGGUGUUCGGGCUUCCUGAAGGUAAUACCCGGGUAUUAGGUUAUGGGGCUAGGGUAAGUUUUUUGGCGUUAGGGUUAAAAUCACUGUCCAAAACCUUUGUAGGAACUCUUUUCCAACCUUUUGGAGUUAGUUACACCAAAAAAAAAUUUGUAAAAUGAACAAGAAAUAUUUGGGGUGUUCGGUCUUCCUGAAGGUCAUACCCGGGUAUUAGGUUAUGGGGCUAGUGAAAGGUUUAAGGUUUUUGGCGUUAGGGUUAAAAUCACUGUCCAAAACCUUUGUAGGAACUCUUUUCCAACCUUUUGGAGUUAGUUAGACCAGAAAAAAAUGAAAAAUGAAAAAAAAAAUAUUUGGGGUUUUCGGUCUUUCUUAAGGUAACACCCGGGUAUUAGGUUUUGGGGCUAGGGUAAGGUUUAAGGUUUUUGGCGUUAGGGUUAAAAUCACUGUCCAAAACCUUUGUAGGAACUCCUUUCCAACCUUUUGGAGUUAGUUAAACCAAAAAAAAAAUUGAAAUAUGAAAAAGAAAUAUUUGGGGUGUUCGGGCUUCCUGAAGGUAAUACCCAGGUAUUAGGUUAUGGGGCUUUGGUAAGGUUUAAGGUUUUUGGCAAUAUGGUUAAAAUCACUGUCCAAAACCUUUGUAGGAACUUUUUUCCAACCUUUUGGAGUUAGUUAGACCAAAAUAAAACAAAAAAUGAAAAAAAAAUAUUUGGGGUGUUCGGUCUUCCUGAAGGUAAUACCCGGGUAUUAGGUUAUGGGGCUAGGGUAAGGUUUUUGGCGUUAGGGUUAAAAUCACUGUCCAAAACCUUUGUAGGAACUCUUUUCCAACCUUUUGGAGUUAGUUACACCAAAAAAAAAUUGUAAAAUGAAAAAGAAAUAUUUGGGGUGUUCGGGCUUCCUGAAGGUAAUAGCCGGGUAUUAGGUUAUGGGGCUAGUGAAAGGUUUAAGGUUUUUGGCGUUAGGGUUAAAAUCACUGUCCAAAACCUUUGUAGGAACUCUUUUCCAACCUUUUGGAGUCAGUUAGACCAAAAUAAAACAAAAAAUGAAAAAAAAAUAUUUGGGAUGUUCGGUCUUCCUGAAGGUAAUACCCGGGUAUUAGGUUAUGGGGCUAGGGUAAGGUUUUUGGCGUUAGGGUUAAAAUCACUGUCCAAAACCUUUGUAGGAACUCUUUUCCAACCUUUUGGAGUUAGUUACACCAAAAAAAAAAUUGUAAAAUGAAAAAGAAAUAUUUGGGGUGUUCGGGCUUCCUGAAGGUAUGAGGUUAUGGGGCUAGGGUAAGGUUUAAGGUUUUUGGCGUUAGGGUUAAAAUCACUGUCCAAAACCUUUGUAGGAACUCUUUUCCAACGUUUUGGAGUUAGUUAGACCAAAAUAAAACAAAAAAUGAAAAAAAAAUAUUUGGGGUGUUCGGUCUUCCUGAAGGUAAUACCCGGGUAUUAGGUUAUGGGGCUAGGGUAAGGUUUUUGGCGUGAGGGUUAAAAUCACUGUCCAAAACCUUUGUAGGAACUCCUUUCCAACCUUUUGGAGUUAGUUAAACCAAAAAAAAAAAGAAAAAGGAACAAGAAAUAUUUAGGGUGUUCGGGCUUCCUGAAGGUAAUACCCGGGUAUUAGGUAAUGGGGCUAGGGUAAGGUUUAAAUGUUUUUGGAGUUAGGGUUAAAAUCACUGUCCAAAACCUUUGUAGGAACUCUUUUCCAACCUUUUGGAGUUAGUUAGACCAAAAUAAAACAAAAAAUGAAAAAAAAAUAUUUGGGGUGUUCGGUCUUCCUGAAGGUAUUAGAUUAUGGGGCUAUGGAAAGGUUUAAUGUUUUUGGCGUUAGGGUUAAAAUCACUGUCCAAAACCUUUGUAGGAACUCUUUUCCAACCUUAUGGAGUUAGUUAGACCUAAAAAAAAUUGUAAAAUGAAAAAGAAAUAUUUGGGGUGUUUGGGCUUCCUGAAGGCAAUACCCAGGUAUUAGGUUAUGGGGCUAGGGUAAGGUUUAAGGUUUUUGGGGUUAGGGUUAAAAUCACUGUCCAAAACAUUUAUUUACUUGCUUAUUAGGGCCCGAGCGUAGCUGCUAAGCUAAGCUAACCUUUGUAGGAACUCUUUUCCAACCUUUUGGAGUUAGUUACACCAAAAAUAAACGAAAAAUUAAAAAAAAUAUAUUUGGGGUGUUCGGUCUUCCUGAAGGUAUUAGAUUAUGGGGCUAUGGAAAGGUUUAAUGUUUUUUUUGCGUUAGGGUUAAAAUCACUGUCCAAAACCUUUGUAGGAACUCUUUUCCAACCUUUUGGAGUUAGUUAGACCAAAAUAAAAUGAAAAAUGAAAAAAAAAAUAUUUGGGGUUUUCGGGCUUUCUGAAGGUAACACCCGGGUAUUAGGUUUUGGGGCUAGGGUAAGGUUUAAGUUUUUUGGGGUUAGGGUUAAAAUCACUGUCCAAAACAUUUAUUUACUUGCUUAUUAGGGCCCGAGCGUAGCUGCUAAGCAGCUGCGAGAGCCCUAUUAUUCCCCAAGUGGUUUUUCUUUGUUUCUUUAGGGCCCGAGCGUAGCUGCUAAGCAGCUGCGAGAGCCCUAUUAUUCCCCAAGUGGUUUUUCUUUGUUUCUUUCUUUCUUCUUUUUCCUCCCCUUUGAACUGGAAAAUGGCCCACUUCCCACUGGCGAAAACUCAUGAAAUUUGGCAGGAUGACCGGGCCUGGUGAAAAAUUUGAUAUUCCGAAGUCGCCCAAACAAGAAAAUGCAAAAUGGCUCCAUAGCGCCCCCUAAGGUGAAAAUUCACACUAUUGACUGUCACGCCUUUACGCUUUGUCAAAAUGACACAAAAAUUGACACACAUAUGUAUCUCAAUAAGAUCUACAAAAAAGUCAGUGCGGGCGUAUCUGUCAAAUGUACGGUUGAAGGGUUAUUCCGCAUUUUUUGCCGAUCCGCACACAUUGGAAUUUCGCUAACUCCUCCGAAGGCUUUCUUUCCACCGGCACCACAUUUGCUCAGGCCAAUCUACACCCCAUGGCCAUUAAAAGUUAUUCAAAUCAUGACGCUGCACCCCACGGUUUAGGUUCUAGGGGGCGCCAUAGAUAACCCUAAAAUCCACAUAUUUAAAAGUCUUAUAACUUUUUAUUUUUGCCCUCACUGGCCUCCAAGUUUUCUAGGAUGAUGCAAUGUCCAGCCAUCAACACAUUUGUGAAGGAAUUUUUACUCCCCAAAAGAGCGCCCCCCAUGGCCGGAGAAAAAAGUCAAUUAGGGCCCGAGCGUAGCUGCUAAGCAGCUGCGAGAGCCCUCUUGUUCCUGCAUGUUUCCUUCUUUUGUUAGGGCCCGAGCGUAGCUGCUAAGCAGCUGCGAGAGCCCUCUUGUUCCUGAUGGAUUCUUCUUUCGUUAUUUUUCCUCCGCUUUAAACUGGAAAAUGGCCCACUUCCCACUGGCGAAAACUCAGGAAAUUUGGCAGGACGACCGGGCCUGGUGAAAAAUUUGAUAUUCUGAAGUCGUCCAAACAAAAAAAUGAAAAAUGGCUCCAUAGCGCCCCCUAUGGUGAAAACUCACCUGAUGCCUGUCCGCUUUGUCAAAAUGACACAAAAUUUGACACACAUGUGUAUCUCAAUAAGAUCUAUGAAAAAGUCAGUGCGGGCGUAUCUGCCAAAUGUACGGUUAAAGGGCUAUUUCGCUUUUUUUGCCGAUCCGCACACAUUGGAAUUUCGCUAACUCCUCCGAAGGCUUUCGUUCCACCGGCACCACAUUUGCUCAGGCCAAUCUACACCCCAUGGCCAUUAAAAGUUGUACAAAUCAUGAUGCUGCACCCCACGGUUUACUUUCUAGGGGGCGCCAAAGAUAACACAAAAAUCCACAUUUUUAAAAGUCUUAUAACUUUUUAUUUUUGUCCUCACUGGCCUCCAAGUUUUCUAGGAUGAUGCAAUGUCCAGCCAUCAACACAUUUGUGAAGGAAUUUUUACUCCCCAAAAGAGCGCCCCCCCAUGGCAGGAGAAAAAAGUCCAUUUUUUCUUGUCUCCUAAGGUAAAAAUACACAUUGUUGAGUGUCACGCCUAUACACUUUGUCAUAUUGACACACAAUUUGACAAUCACGUGUAUCUCAAUAAGAUCUACAAAAAAGUCAAUAGGCACGUAUCUGUCAAAUGUAUGGUUAAAGGGCUAUUUCGCAUUUUUUGCCGAUUCGCACACAUUGGAAUGUGGCUAUCUCCUCCUAAGGCUUUCGUCCCACCGAUACCAAAUUUGCUCAGGGCAAUCUACACCCCAUGGCCAUUCAAAGUUGUAAAAAUCAUGACGCUGCAUCCCACGGUUUACGUUCUAGGGGGCGCCAAAGAUGACCCAAAAAUCCACAUUCUUAAAAGUCAUUUUGGCCACUGCAGGAGUACAGAGUACUGCAGUUCUAGGGGGCGCCAAAGAUGACCCAAAAAUCCACAUUCUUAUAAGUCUUUUUGGCCACUGCAGGAGUACAGAGUACUGCCGGACACACACACACACACACACACACACACACACACACACACUCAGAGUCUGUUUUUUAGCACCUGCAAAAACAUGCUGUUUACAUAUUUGACAAGAAUGCAGAGGCUUCCUUUUGCCCCUGAAAAAAAUCAAAUUUCAAACACAACUUGACUGUUCAUUUCUCCAAAAGACAACCAUGAAGCUCCAUCCAAACCUGAAGCAGAUAGUUGGUGCAUGUGUACAGUAACCUGAGGAGAGUGAGGUGACUACUUCUGAGGAGAACAUGAGCAGUGAAGAUUCACCUUGGAGCUAGAACAGGGACGUGCACAUGAUUAUACAGGGGCAGGGGCUCAAGUUU